rnacentral:rRNA from 1 species
UGAUGACGAGACGCUAAGGCGUUGAAGCAGUGUAUGUCAGACUUCCAAGAAAAGCUCGCAAUGUCACAAAUAAAAGAUGCCUGUACCAUAACCGACACAGGUGGGUAGGUAGAGUAUACUAAGGGGCGCGAGAUAACUCUCUCUAAGGAACUCGGCAAAAUGACUCCGUAACUUCGGGAGAAGGAGUGCCUUAUUUAUAAGGUUGCAAUAACAAGAUCCAAGCAACUGUUUAUCAAAAACACAGGUCUCCGCUAAGUCGUAAGACGAUGUAUGGGGGCUGACGCCUGCCCAGUGCCAGAAGGUUAAAGAAGUUGGUUAGUGUAUGCGAAGCUGAUGACUGAAGCCCUGGUGAACGGCGGCCGUAACAAUAACGGUCCUAAGGUAGCGAAAUUCCUUGUCGGGUAAGUUCCGACCCGCACGAAAGGCGUAAUGAUUUGGAUACUGUCUCGGAGAGAGGCUCGGUGAAAUAGACUUGUCUGUGAAGAUGCGGACUACCUGCACCAGGACAGAAAGACCCUAUGAAGCUUUACUGUAACUUGACAUUGGAAUUGGACUUUGCUUGCGCAGUAUAGGUGGGAAGCGUUGAAAAUAUUCUUGCGGGAGUAUUGGAGCUAUCAGUGAGAUACCACUCUUGUAAUGUUAGAUUUCUAACUUUGAACCAUAAUCUGGUCAAAGAACAGUUUCAGGUGGGCAGUUUGACUGGGGCGGUCGCCUCCCAAAUGGUAACGGAGGCGUACAAAGGUUUCCUCUGAACGGAUAGAAAUCGUAUCUAGAGUGUAAAGGCAUAAGGAAGCUUGACUGUGAGACCUACAAGUCGAGCAGGGACGAAAGUCGGUCUUAGUGAUCUGACGGUACUGAGUGGAAAGGCCGUCACUCAACGGAUAAAAGUUACCCUAAGGAUAACAGGCUGAUCUCCCCCAAGAGUUCACAUCGACGGGGAGGUUUGGCACCUCGAUGUCGGCUCAUCGCAUCCUGGGACGGUAGUACGUCCCAAGGGUUGGGCUGUUCGCCCAUGAAAGCGGUACGCGAGCGGGUUCAGAACGUCGUGAGACAGUUCGGUCCAUAUCCGGUGUAGGCGCUAGAAUAUUGAGAGGAGCCUUCUUUAGUACGAGAGGACCGAGAAGGACACACCGCUGGUGUACCAGUUAUCGUGCCAACGGUAAACGCUGGGUAGCUAUGUGUGGAGUGGAUAACCGCUGUAAGCAUCUAAGUGGGAAGCCCACCUCGAGAUGAG